rnacentral:lncRNA from 1 species
UUAUAAUUGAAUUUCCCUCUACUGCUUCUUCUUCUUUGAUUCCUCGUCUGAGCUUUCUUCACUCUUUAAUGGUGAAACUUAAUAUAGCAUCAAAGCUCGAGUAGAUCAAUCGAAGCUAGGGAUUAAUUCAUUAAUUCGUCUUCUGAAACCAUUGAUACAAAUUUAGCUCUAUUUUCUAGAGAUCAACCAUGGCAAAUUUUGAUAUUAUAAUCCUCAUCAUCAUUUGUAUUUGCUAACCAUCCGAUAAUCCUGGCAAUGCCAUUAUAUCGAUUUAGCUAAAAGGAACUGAAAUUUUUUUCAGUUUGAAGCAAGGCGAUGGUGCUUACAUUGCGAGCAAAAUGCAAACUAGGGUUCAUCAAUAGGAGCUCUACCAUGGCGCAAUACAUUGCCAAUUUGGGGAAGAAUGAGAGUGAGUAAAUGCUACAGUUCUAACAUGGAUUAUGAACUCAAUAUCACCAGAAUUGGUAACUGAAAUUGUGUAUGCGAGUGAUGCUCCUGAAGUUUAGAUGGAUUUACCGGGUCAUUUUGACAAGGUCAAUGGCUCCAGAAUUUAUAACCUUCAACGAGAAAUAUAUACAAUUUCUCAAGUUACUUCUAGUAUCUCAAUGUAUCAUUCCAGAAUGAAAUCACUGUGGAUGAGUACUAUUCCAUGAUACCUUCACUUUUUGUUAAGGUUGGGACCAGAGAUUUUAUCAAACACUUGGAGCGGCAGAAAAUUUUCAGCUUUUAAUGGGUUUAAAUAAAUCCUAUAAUGCUAUUAAGAGUCAUAUCUUCAAUUCCAUCACCUUCUUUUAGUCAUGCUUAUGCAAUGUUGAUAAAUGAAGAAACCAAAGAAGAGUAUUUGAGACCAAUUCACAUGUCAAUGUGGUAAAUGAAGUGAAUGAUUCCAAAAUAUUCAUGAUUUCUAGAGAUAAUCCUACAAAGUUUAUGAAGUUCAACAAUUUGUAUUGUGAGUAUUGUCGAAAAUAAAGGUCAUACCUAGGAUACUUGUUAAGUUAGUUGGAUAUCCACCUAGUUUCAAACGGAAAAGACAACAACAAUAUAUUUAAGCUAACAUGGUUAUUAAUGAUAGCGUUCUAGAAAAGGUGAUACGAUAAAUAAAGACAAUACUGGGUGAAUCAAG